AUGGAUAUCUGGCUUCUAGGUUGGAUAAUUUUUAGUUUCUUGGAAGCAGGACACACAGGACCCAAAGUCUUACAGAUCCCAAGUCAUCAAAUAAUAGAUAUGGGGCAGAUGGUGACCCUCAAUUGUGACCCAGUUUCUAAUCACCUAUAUUUUUAUUGGUAUAAACAGAUUUUAGGACAGCAGAUGGAGUUUCUGGUUAAUUUCUACAAUGGUAAAGUCAUGGAGAAGUCUAAACUGUUUAAGGAUCAGUUUUCAGUUGAAAGACCAGAUGGUUCAUAUUUCACUCUGAAAAUCCAACCCACAGCACUGGAGGACUCAGCUGUGUACUUCUGUGCCAGCAGCUUAGC